AAAGCUCCAGGCUGAACCAGGAUGUCUGCAGCCAUUGCUAGCUCAGGGGAGGAGGAGGAGCAACCACAGCUAUCAAGAGCCAGUGCCCGGACCAAGUGUGGCUGCUGUCUUCACAGGCUUCCUGACAAGCUGGAGACCAUAAAUAAAAGAUUCUCCUUUGGCAGGAACACAGGGGAAUCCUGGUGUGGCCAACAGUGAAAGCAAAAAGUCUGAGGGAAAAGCCUGGAAUCUCUGCUGACUCUACUGGGUCACUCUACUUCUCUCUCCAAUCCUAACCGCCUCUGAGAAGCCACCAGUGCCAGGCAAGCCACGAUGUCAAAGCUGACACCAACAGCUGUUCUCUGGAGAAGCCGCUGCCUCUGUUUAGAAGCUGUGCCCAUUAGGGCUGCAGUGAACUGUGGGGUGGGUAGAAAUUGUAAUGCCUGAGAAUUACAGUGGUACCAAUUCCACAGACUAAACCGAAGUAACACCUUCCUUCACAGCUACCCUGACACAAAGUGGGGACCUGCUUGCUUGCAUUAGGGAACUCUGCUAACCCAGACCUUCAUACUGACACCUGCCCUCGCAGACCAAAGGCCAAAACCAAAAUAAAA
ensembl:processed_transcript 5730435O14Rik RIKEN cDNA 5730435O14 gene